CAGUCGCCGCGGUAAUACGUAGGUGGCAAGCGUUGUCUGGAAUUAUUGGGCGUAAAGGGCUCGCAGGCGGUUUCUUAAGUCUGAUGUGAAAGCCCCCGGCUCAACCGGGGAGGGUCAUUGGAAACUGGGAAACUUGAGUGCAGAAGAGGAGAGUGGAAUUCCACGUGUAGCGGUGAAAUGUGUAGAGAUGUGGAGGAACACCAGUGGCGAAGGCGACUCUCUGGUCUGUAACUGACGCUGAGGAGCGAAAGCGUGGGGAGCGAACAGGAUUAGAUACCCCUGUAGUCCCUGUCUCUUAUAU
rnacentral:rRNA from 1 species